rnacentral:rRNA from 1 species
CAGGUACGUUAAUAGCGUGCUUGUUUGACGUUAGCUGCAGAAGAAGCACCGGCUAACUCCGUGCCAGCAGCCGCGGUAAUACGGAGGGUGCGAGCGUUAAUCGGAAUUACUGGGCGUAAAGCGCAUGCAGGUGGUUUGUUAAGUCAGAUGUGAAAGACCCGGGGCGUCAACCUCGGAAUUGCAUUUGAAACUGGCAGACUAGAGUACUGUAGAGGGGGGUAGGAAUUUCAGGUGUAGCGGUGAAAUGCGUAGAGAUCUGAAGGAAUACCGGUGGCGAAGGCGGCCCCCUCGGACAGAUACUGACACUCAGAUGCGAAAGCGUGGGGAGCAAACAGGAUUAGAUACCCUGGUAG